rnacentral:rRNA from 1 species
GACGAACGCUGGCGGCGUGCUUAACACAUGCAAGUCGAACGGAAAGGCCCAGCUUGCUGGGUACUCGAGUGGCGAACGGGUGAGUAACACGUGGGUUAUCUGCCCUCAACUUUGGGAUAAGCCUAGGAAACUGGGUCUAAUACCGGAUAUGAUCAACUGUCGCAUGGUGGUUGGUGGAAAGCUUUUGCGGUUGAGGAUGGGCCCGCGGCCUAUCAGCUUGUUGGUGGGGUAAUGGCCUACCAAGGCGACGACGGGUAGCCGACCUGAGAGGGUGAUCGGCCACACUGGGACUGAGACACGGCCCAGACUCCUACGGGAGGCAGCAGUGGGGAAUAUUGCACAAUGGGCGGAAGCCUGAUGCAGCGACGCCGCGUGAGGGAUGACGGCCUUCGGGUUGUAAACCUCUUUCACCAGGGACGAAGCGUGAGUGACGGUACCUGGAGAAGAAGCACCGGCUAACUACGUG